GCAUUGGUGGUUCAGCGGUAGAAUUCUCACCUUCCAUGUGGGAGAUGCAGAUUCAGUUCCUGGUCAGUGUA
rnacentral:tRNA from 1 species